UACGUAGGGUGCAAGCGUUGUCCGGAAUUAUUGGGCGUAAAGAGCUCGUAGGCGGUCUGUCACGUCGGCUGUGAAAACUCGGGGCUCAACUCCGAGCUUGCAGUCGAUACGGGCAGGCUAGAGUUCGGCAGGGGAGACUGGAAUUCCUGGUGUAGCGGUGAAAUGCGCAGAUAUCAGGAGGAACACCGGUGGCGAAGGCGGGUCUCUGGGCCGAUACUGACGCUGAGGAGCGAAAGCGUGGGGAGCGAACAGG
rnacentral:rRNA from 1 species